GGCCGUGUGGCCUAAUGGAUAAGGCAUCAGACUUCGGAUCUGAGGAUUGCAGGUUCGAGUCCUGUCACGGUCA
rnacentral:tRNA from 1 species